rnacentral:rRNA from 1 species
CCUACGGGUGGCUGCAGUGGGGAAUAUUGCGCAAUGGGGGCAACCCUGACGCAGCAACGCCGCGUGAUUGAAGAAGGCCUUCGGGUUGUAAAGAUCUUUAAUCAGGGACGAAAAAUGACGGUACCUGCAGAAUAAGCUCCGGCUAACUACGUGCCAGCAGCCGCGGUAAUACGUAGGGAGCAAGCGUUAUCCGGAUUUACUGGGUGUAAAGGGCGUGUAGGCGGGCCUGUAAGUCAGAAGUGAAAUCUGGGGGCUUAACCCCCAAACUGCUUUUGAAACUGCGGGUCUUGAGUGAUGGAGAGGCAGGCGGAAUUCCCAGUGUAGCGGUGAAAUGCGUAGAUAUUGGGAGGAACACCAGUGGCGAAGGCGGCUCACUGGACUGCAACUGACACUGAGGCUCGAAAGUGUGGGUAUCAAACAGGAUUAGAUACCCGAGUAGUC